UACGUAGGGUGCAAGCGUUAAUCGGAAUUACUGGGCGUAAAGCGUGCGCAGGCGGUUAUGCAAGACAGGUGUGAAAUCCCCGGGCUUAACCUGGGAACCGCAUUUGUGACUGCAUAGCUGGAGUACGGCAGAGGGGGAUGGAAUUCCGCGUGUAGCAGUGAAAUGCGUAGAUAUGCGGAGGAACACCGAUGGCGAAGGCAGUCCCCUGGGCCUGUACUGACGCUCAUGCACGAAAGCGUGGGGAGCAAACAGG
rnacentral:rRNA from 1 species